rnacentral:rRNA from 1 species
GGGUUGUGAGGUUAAGCGACUAAGCGUACACGGUGGAUGCCCUGGCAGUCAGAGGCGAUGAAGGACGUGCUAAUCUGCGAAAAGCGACGGCGAGGUGAUAUGAACCUUUGACCCGUCGAUGUCCGAAUGGGGAAACCCAGUGUGUUUCGACACACUAUCGUUAACUGAAUACAUAGGUUAACGAGGCGAACCGGGGGAACUGAAACAUCUAAGU